UAUUUUCUCUAUCGUGUGUUUUUGUGUUUGCUGUAAUGAAACGGGACGUAGUUAGCGUGCACAAAAGUGCCAGAAGAUACCUCGUGUCUCGCUGCGAACUCGCCGUAUGCGUGGCACGCCAGGCAAAUGUGGACCAACGAUUUUUAUGUCGUGGCCUUUGUCUGGUUGUCGUGGAAAGUUGGGUGGACGUCGAAAAAAAAUAAUGCGUAUUGUUAGCGUGCCUCAGCUCGUCCACUACGCAGCGACAUCUAUGAUGGGAGUAAUGUCGUCGACGCAGCACCGGCAACUUGGAGAGCGUCGUACCAUUGAAAAGGUAAGCAGUCGUGCUUGCUAAGUACACGUGUGUUGUGUGUGCUCCUCGCGUGUGCAUAGCGUACCUUGCGAACGUAGGAAAUUGAACUUCUGCGACAACAGUGAAACCUGUGCUUGUGCAUGCUGCGCGCUGUUUGUCAGAAUUUAGUUAAGCAAAUUUAUUGCUUUGAUGCGAAAUUGAAUAUCCUGAUAAGCGUUUUCUUCCGAUGAGAAAAAUUACGUUCGAAAAUAAUCGUGUUCACCUGUACGUGCGCUUCCGCUUUUCUGCUGAAGUUGCAUAAUAACGACUGAUCUGUCUCUUCACCGAUUAUUACGGCAAUUACGUUUUUUCGCUUAUAAACUCUUCGACGUUGUAAAUAAUCUAUGCUUACCAGGUUUUCGGUUUACGAGCAGUUUGAGGAGAAAACGAGAAUGUAAGCAGUCACAGUUUGCUACUAGUACAGCUUUCUUUUCAAAACAAGGGGUGUUGCCAUAACUAUGACGUAACUAAACAUGGCAGGGGAAAGUUGUUUAAACUAAGUCAUGCAAGCAAACUCUAGUAUGUAAACAAACAUUUCUUGUAUGUGCUGCUGCGUGCGUGUUCAAAAUUUUACUUUGAUGAAGGGGUCCCUAUUAUCAUGACAUUCUUCAGUGACUCGACCUUGUGCUCCGUUGCCACCCUGCACUAGUCCAGACAUGUUUUUAUGUGCACCUUACAUGUGUUCACAAUAUGACAGUUUUAUUGUGCCAAUCAAUGCUAUAAGUUAACACACUACUCAUUUUGCAGUGGUGAGACUGUGACCCUAUAGCAGUGUCAACAUAAUGGCAGGGAAAUGCAGGGAUCCCGCAGCCAUGGCUACAGCAGGACAGGGUGUAAUCUGGAUGUCAUGUCAGACCUGAAGCCUACAGCUUCAGAUUGUGCGCUUGACUGUCAAGCCUUGUGAAGGAGAGGAUGGAGGCUUUUAUUUCCCCUUACCACCCGGAUGCGUCACAUCAUAUGCCUACGGUGAAAUACGAGGGAACUAGCCUGCUGCAAGCAAGAGCCCUCCAUGUACAGCUCGAAUCGAUCAAGAUUGACGAAGAUGACCUUGUCUCUGGCCUUGCCAUGCAGAUUGCCCUUUACUGGAUAUUCGACAUUGUUUUUGCGCCAAAGGCA